UACAGAGGUCCCAAGCGUUGUUCGGAUUCACUGGGCGUAAAGGGUGCGUAGGCGGUCGGGUAAGUCUGACGUGAAAUCUCCAAGCUCAACUUGGAAAUGGCGUCGGAUACUAUUCGGCUCGAGGAAUGGAGGGGAGACUGGAAUUCUCGGUGUAGCAGUGAAAUGCGUAGAUAUCGAGAGGAACACCAGUGGCGAAGGCGAGUCCCUGGACAGGUCCUGACGCUGAGGCACGAAAGCUAGGGGAGCAAACAGG
rnacentral:rRNA from 1 species